GGCAACAUGGCCGAGUGGUCUAAGGCGCCAGAAUCAGGACUUCCUAUGUUCUCAUCUGGUCCGAAAGGGCGAGGGUUCGAAUCCCUCUGUUGUCA
rnacentral:tRNA from 1 species